UUUAAGUUUCUGAAAUUACAUGAAGAAUGCUAACCUGAGUCAUGCAGACGAGACUGAAGUAUGCACACUGAUUGGGCGACCUUAAAAAGGGAGGAUUUUGUAGCUACCAACAAACCAUCACUAGCCCUUACUUAAGUGGGCCAAUCAGCAGAUGCAAUGAUGCAUGUUUUGCAUUUUUUUCAUACGCGCAUGAUUCAGCUUAGCACCUCGCUAGUCCUAAAACAUGAAACUGAUGAAAUUGCAAAGAACAUGGGAGGAUUUUGUGGCUACCAACAUUCCAUCACCAGCCCUUGCUUGAGUGGGCCAAUCAGCAGAUGCAAUGAUGCAUGGAUUGCAUUUUUUCAUUCGUGCAUGACUCAGCUUAUCACCUCGCUAGUCCUAAAACAUGAAACUGAUGAAAUUGCAAAGAAAUAAACUAUUAUAUGUUAUCCAAGAUCAAGAUCAUAUAAAAAGAAAUCACCAGGCAAUAACAAAUCCAAUCAUAGAGACCUAGGAGGUUUCUCUAACAAUGAAGAAAGAUAAACUCGUCCUUUGACUUCGGAGAGAUGACCAACUUGUAUGUCCUGUACCCGAAUUGCAAGAACAUGUAGUUAUCCAGAUCCUUUCUGCUCCAGAAGAACCUGUCAAUCCAGAGCAACCCACCAGGCCUCACCUUUGUUCAACCAAAAGUAAUUAGACAAUAUUCUCAUAGCGAAAUCGUCAUUAUGAAUUUGAAUAUGUGAAGAUUUUCCUGUUUGGCAGGAUAGCUUUUUGGAGUAGAUACUUAACGACAAGCCGAAGUUGUGAACUUUUUAGAGCUGAUCUUAGGAAGGUUCCUUUGAAAGAAGAUUCGCGGGCUGGUUUUAUCCAUUAAAGCUAAGCUAAUGGACAGGUAGUUAAAGCAGUAUGAUAAAGAAUCCAUGAAGAUGGCUAUCCUAAAGCAUGAAGAAACUUUCAAAGAGCAGAUUCUGCUGCCUCUCUCUCGUUAUUUUAAGUGCACCUUCAUUGCGAGCCAUACUUCAACUGAUUCCAGGUCCAUCAUCUCAAGUACGAGUGUAGAUAGUUGGAUGUAGGCCUGUUUCGCUGCUAGUAAGCCUGUGCUCUAUGCAUGCAUGUUUUUUGGAUUUCUGCGGGAUCUGUUUUCGUCUCUGCUGUGAAGUCGAAAGCUACACUCAUGUUGAUGUGUAUGUGUAGAAGUUCCACUCUUUAUUGUGUAAAUCAAGUUUAUCUGCAUACAAAAUGCCAAUCCGCUUCCCAG